AGCACCGUGACCACCACUAGGGGUUCAGGCGGGGUCCUAGGCAACUGGGACAGGGCAUCUGUGCUGGGCUUCAAUAAAGUUGAGCAAGAGUUGGCAGCCAUCGCUUGGCCUCCCGUGCUCGCCCGUAUCUGCUCAGAACAGGUGGAGGCUCGCCGCAGCAUCCGCAGCCCAGACAGCAGCCCCCUGCACCCCCACACAUCUCGUGCCACAUGGCAGCCGUCCCUCAGCGAGUCUGGUCCAUUCUUUAGCGAACACGCCUGCCCGCCAUCGCCGCAUGCUGCCCGUUGUUGAGCCACAAUGAGAGGAAGAAUAGCAGCACCCAUAAUCCCUUGGUUCUGCUCCUAGUCUGGUGGCACCCUCUCAAUCAGACUUCUUGAAAGCGUCUCUGAUCGCCGGGGCCGUCUCAUGAGAUGCCGUAGUUGUUGUAGUAGGCGGCGGUGGCGUCGGCCAGCACCGAGAUGAGACUGGUCUCCGUGGUGCUACUGGGACACGUCAAGGUGGAGACGGGGGAGGAGGCGGAGGACACCUGGACGUGGCCCGUGACCGUGACCUGCUCGGCAUGGAAGCCGCCCCCGGUGGAGUUCAGGUACUGGUCAAACUCGUCGCGGUCCACCUCGCCCAGGAGUUCGGCCUGACUCAGCUGGUCCAGCGUCUCCAGGUGAGCCUGCGUCUCCGGGGGCGGGGACAGCUGCCCUAGGUGGCCUUGAUGGUGGAGGUGAAUUUGAGGGAAGUGGGAGGGACUGUAGUAAGAGAAAGGAGUUAUCAGUCCUUGGCCGCCGCCGCCGCCACCUGUAGGGACCAUGUGGGGCAUGUGUGCGCCACCACAAUGGAUUUGGG